GAUGAACGCUGGCGGCGUGCCUAACACAUGCAAGUCGAGCGAUCUUCUUCGGAAGAGAGCGGCGGACGGGUGAGUAACGCGUGGGUAACCUGCCCUGUACACACGGAUAACAUACCGAAAGGUAUGCUAAUACGAGAUAAUAUGCUUUUAUCGCAUGGUAGAAGUAUCAAAGCUCAGGCGGUACAGGAUGGACCCGCGUCUGAUUAUCUAGUUGGGAAGGUAACGGCUUACCAAGGAGACGAUAAGUAGCCGACCUGAGAGGGUGAGCGGCCACAUUGGAACUGAGACACGGCCCAAACUCCUACGGGAGGCAGCAGUGGGGAAUAUUGCACAAUGGGCGAAAGCCUGAUGCAGCAACGCCGCGUGAGCGAUGAAGGCCUUCGGGUCGUAAAGCCCUGUCCUCAAGGAAGAUAAUGACGGUACUUGAGGAGGAAGCCCCGGCUAACUACGUGCCAGCCGCCGCCGUAA
rnacentral:rRNA from 1 species